UAUGCCCUCAUCCUCUGGGCCUUUUUACAUCCCGUCCAACCUGGAAAGAUCCCUUCCCUGUGGCCCCAGUUCACACACAGACAAAUGGAGACAGACACUCUUUUACCCUACAGUUAGUGUGGGUCAUUUGUAUCUAACCUUAAUGUCACUUGCUUCGGGAAGCUUCCCAGACCUCCAGCUUCUUGGUCCCGAGUGUUGUGGCUGCUUCUACCUAGAGUUUACAGUGGUUGCUGGUCUCAAUGUAUGGUUGUACGAUGACAGUUUUUUAAAUUCUUUUUUUUUUGACACUGUGGCCUGGUUUAACAAUGUGACACUGGGCUCCUGUUCCUGGACCACCUGGAUUAGAGGGAGUGCUAUGCAGUGUUGGCAAGUGGCCAAUGGGCACUCUCUGGAUUCUAUUGGAACAGAGUGUCAAUUGCUUCCAUCUGCAUCUGCAUGACACUGGACCUGGGAAGUUUACUCCCUUUCCCUGAACUGCUUAUUAUGCCCUGUAAACCUGUACAGACACAUCGGUGACAGCUGCCCCAUCAUCCCAGAAGACUCUCUACCACCCCCACAUGGUAGCAGCUAGAUGCAUGGUAACCUUGUAAUCUUAUUAAACAUGUGAGGAGAUACUGGGGACAUUUCCCAGUGUUCUUCCACAAAGACUUUUGUCUAGGUCUACACAGAGAAUUCUUUUAGAAAUCGGAGCAUGAUCAUCUUGGGAAGCAGAGGUGUGUUUGUCAUUGUCUCUCUUGCAAGAGGUGCUGUUGCAUGUUUGGGCAGCUGAGAGCAGCUUCACUGAGGAAGACACAGCAGGCAGUGAGUCUCCCUCAUAGCUGCUGACUGAGACUCUUGUGUGGACCCACAAGUCUGUGAGCUGCUGUCGGAUAUCCUGCAAGUCUGGGUCCUCAGGGUACAAGGUUUAUUUCAGAAGAUCUCCACCAGCACACUCGGAACUUCAAGGCUCUCAGGGCUCACCGUGUCAAGUUACAUGUUUGGGCUCUCUAAGAAUUCUCCUAAAUCUCCCAAAGCUAUCACAGCAUACAUCUCUCUCAACGAAGUAGAUGGCUUUAUGCAGCCCAUACUCUCGAGAGAGGCACAUCUUGUUCAGUUUGCCCAGCUAUGUUAAUUGUCUCAACAUUGUUAUUUUAAAAUUAGUUUUAAAAACAACCACAUUUCAACCGUGAAAUAUGUUAAAAUACUUUAAGACAGCCACCUAAAAUCAAUGUUAACAUUUUAAAUAUCCUCUUGAAACUUCUGGUGGCUCUUCUUCCUGGCUUGUCACACGUGGCUCUCCCUUUCCAGUCUGCUUUAGUUGCUGAUGUCAGCAGCUUGGAGUGAGGUCUUUGAUCAAUAGAUUAUUCCUUUAUAGAAAAGACUGUCAUCUUUUUCCUAAAUCCCAAGAUGGGCAUCUCCCCUUUCACCCGAGCAUGUAUGCACAGGCAGUUGUUCUCUCAUCAGAUCUCCUAAUUUCAUAAAAGUCUGAGUGACUCCACAGCACCGCAGGGGAGCAGGUGGCCCUCAGCUGCACCUGGGUCAGGUAGAUAGAAGAGCUAAAGUAUGUUCUACUGGGCCGGCCUCAUUGUCCCAUGGGUUUGUGAUAUUCAGUUCCUGUUGAUGCCCUGAAAGGCAAAUGACCUGGAGUUGCUGCCUUCGGGGAAUAGAGGACUUAGCUACUGUGGGGAUGUGAUUGUCGUAGAGGAAUGGGGAGCUAGGGAAGACUGAUGACUGAGAUGACUCUGGAGCUGUGCCUUUCAUGUGGAAGAGUGUGGUAGAGCACUAUCAUCUUCCAGAGGAGUCAUGCUGGAUAUGGGGUCCAGCUCCUCGCAUCCCAGUGACUGCAGAGUGUUCCAGGUAGUCUGGCUCAGGACAGUGAAGCUGAAACUGCUGUCUGGUGUUGUGCCUGCUCCGAGGUCCAUGUGGCCGUUAGCUGAAUGUUCAUCCUGCCCAUCCCUGCCUGUGUUCCUGGAGUAGUCAGAGUCUGCUGGUUGUUUUUGGUUUUAUUUUGGUUUUGGUUUUGGUUUUGACCUGUCACCCCAUGCAAAGUGACCCUGCAGAGGUGAGAGGGAUGAGGCUCAAGUGGCCCAAGUCUUUGGGGGAACUUCCCCAUCUAUUGAUGUCCCUCUCAGCAGUGCUGGUUUACAUUAGCUGUGCGCUGUGGAAUGUGCUGGAAGAGAAGGUGGACACCCUGCACGACUCAGCUGGAUCUGCAGAGGGGUAACUUCCCUGACAAGUGGGGGUGCUCCAUUUGGAGCCCAUAGGGGAUCCAGAACUCCCCCAGACCACUGCAACUGUGUGGAAGCCAAUGCUGAGGUCCCCUGGGUUUCCUGGUGUGAGCCCAGAAUUGACACACCUCGUCUGACUUGCAGUGAUGCCUAGUUUGACUGUAUCUCCAAAUGACAAGCAUGAAAAGAUGGCUAUGUUCGACUCUCCCAUGGUUCCACAGGCUCAGUGAUGAUGGAAUGUCUCUCUGGUUUAGGGUCUGGGGUGAGACUUAAGUGAGAGUGGAGACUCUGGGAUUUAUACUCUCCAAUGUAUAUAAAUCCUGCCCUCUUCUGUCUGUACCUGUGUAAGCAUGCUGCAAGGUGCAGUGAGGGCCCAUGGCUUCCUCAUGAGACUCUCAAGCAGAGGGGAAGCCCCACCAGCCAGCAGAGCAAACAGGUGCUCUUGGAUCCACUUGUCAGAGUAGGGCGCCGACAGAAGGUCAGGAGUUGGUCUCCAGGAAAGAAAGCAGGGAUCUUGAGCAGUUUAACCCGCUGAUGGAUUUGUGGGUGGCAGGUAUGUGGAAGUGGUUCAAAGGCCAGAGCCCUGGUGGUGACUCCAGAGAUAACCUUCCCACCAAAGUGACCAGGUCCUCUUUGCAAACAUUUGAAGGUACAGAGAACAUUCUGUUGCUCCAGUAGUGAAUUUGAAGAAUUUAAAGAAAUUCCUUUGUGUGACUUAAAAGUUUGGGGUUGGAGAGGGUGGCAUUGUGUUGAUUUAAAGUUCAGAGAGCCUAUAUUCGGAGGAUGGAGUCAUUUCUCUACAAGGAGAACAAACAUUAGCUGAGAAGACGAAUAGGAAAAAUAAGUGAACCCUCAAAAAACUCACAGUUGCCAAAGGAGUCUUUCCUGCUCCAGCCAGGUCAGCUACUGCGAGAGAUGGCUUGUGCUGUCUCUUUGGAACCCACAGGCUUGUUGACGCUUUCUGUGGAGUACAUGCAGCAGGGAGGAUGAUGCUGGCCACUUUCUUGCUUCCUGAUAACUGCAAUGCUAUGGAGAAGGUUUGGGUCACUUGGGAGGCCCGAGCCUCAUGCUCUGUAGUCAUGUAUCUAGGAUUCACCCAGAGGAGUCACAGUAGCAAUUUUGUUGGUGCCUGAUGCUUGCCUUCUUGGAAACCUCUGUACAAAACAUGGAUGAGACACUCUCAAGGUCAACAUCAAGUUCCCUGCAGUGGGAUGAGAUGGAGACUUGAUGCCGCUAGUUGAGUUUUGGUGCUGUGGAAUUGGAGGUUAACUUUCGUGUGGAUGCCUGGUGGCUGUCAGGAUGGGCGCCAUGAAGGCACCAGCCUGGUAAAGAUGAACUGGGGCUACUAUGGAUGGAAGAACCUUGUACAUCAACAACCCUCAGAUGGCUGCUUGUAUUUCUUGAGGGACACUAUUAAACAAGGGGCCCAACACUGAUUUCUGCAUCUGGCAGGUGGACACAAGGAGACAACAAUCACUCCAUGGGGGAUGGUGGUAACUAAGGCCCUUGCUAUCAGGCCAAAAUAGUGCAGUCCCUACAAAUCACCCAAAUGAGGUAGAGUGUAAUGGCCUCUGGCACACUGUACAGAGUUACUACUUCACUUGAGCUUUUUCAUCUGUGGCAGAACUCAACAGAGAAACAGCAUGUGGUUGAUAAACACACCUUGGUCAGGGCACCUUCUCUCACACCCUAUGGGGCCCACUCCACAGGGCAAGCUUCAUACUACACAUAUCAUGUGGCCUACUACAGUUACCCGCUACAGAGCAUGGGCUUCAGUGAAGGACAUGGUGUCCUGGUGGAAG
rnacentral:lncRNA from 1 species